rnacentral:lncRNA from 1 species
GGGGAGCGCGGCACGCCGGUCGGCGAGCGGGGAACGAGGGGAAGGGAGCGGCUCGCCCAGUCGCAAAGCAGAAAGUUCGGAGCGAGGCGGAGGCGGGGGGUGAGAGCUGCCCAAUCACCCGGCAGAGACAGAACCGGGAACGAAGGGAAGGGGAUAAGAAAAUAAUAUCCAACGAUAACAUCACUGAGUACCUGCACACUUGAUCAAAGGAUGGGAUGCAGGGUUUUUUGGUAGGCUCCAUGUCACCUGAAAAAAUAGCAUUUCCUGUGUGAAUACCGGGGAAAGGAGGCAUUAGAGAUCUGCAAAGCCAGGGAUUGCAGCCUUCAGCAUUAAGCAGCCACUGCUGUUCCCUACAAAGCAUGCGGUGAUCAUUGCAGCUACAGGGAAAGAGAAAAGAACUGACAGUGAAUUAGACAGUACUAGUGAUAAGACUAUAGAAGACUUGCUGUGCUGCAUAAAACUCCUGUGAUGAUGACAUGGGAGAUAUCUGCAGACUGAUUCCAUUUUUGGCCCAGGAACUGUCUGAAAAGCCAAAGGGAAAAAGGCCAGUAUAUGUGAAAGUGUGCUGACUAGAGUGGCAGAAAGCUGUACCUACACUUGGUCUCAGUCACUGCAACAAGGUAAGACAAUGCCAGAUCAGUCCUCUCUGUUCUAGAAAAGCUGGGACGUACUAUGCAGUAACUGUGAGAGAGAAGGGUUUUAGAUCUUGCAGCUUGUCCUGUGUUCAGCAUACAGAUGUUGCAUUUUCUCUGCCUACUUGGCUGUGAACAGUGGCAUUUUUUCUUAGAAUAAAUUAUUUCCAAAUAUUUUGUUGUUACUAUUACUGCUAAGAGUUUCUUCACACUCAGGUUUCCAUCAUCUCAAGAUCUGUGUAAGGAGCCAUCUCCUUAUGAACAGGCAAGUCUUUCCAAAAUUUAAAUUCUGUUUGAAAACAAAGCUAAUGUUAAGUUAAAGUUUCAGCAACAACCAACACCGCUGCCUGGACUGAUUGUUUUUAUGCAAGAGCAGCACUUGAAAGAUGAGUCUCCUUUCCAGUCUGUGCGCUCUCCCCUGGCCUCCUCCAUCAUUUCAGAAUCAAUAGCUGUUUCUGAUUGCACCCCUCCCCUCCAGACCCUGCUCUUUGCUACCUCAUUUUGGUUUUAAUUUACCACUGCAAAAUUGCAGUCAUUUUUCCCCCAUCGUAAUUAAGAAACCUAUCCAUUAAGGAGAAUGAAAACAAAAACAAAGCCUUCUUAUCUGAGCCCUUAGCACAGAACAGAGACAGCAAUGAUUGGUGAGAAGAUCAGGUCUAGAAAGCCAAGCCCUUUAUUGAUUUUGCUGGCCUUUCUCAGUAAAUACAGAACGAGUUUUAAAUUCAUCUAGAAGGAAGCUAAAAGCCAGUGUGGAGUGCUGAGUUCCCAACACAAAAGGAUAAAGAAAUAGUGUCUUCUCACCUGAUUCACUUUUUAUUCUCUCCGUGUAAUUUCAACAGAAACAUUUGGUGAAUGUUUCAUUGUACCUUGCUUUAAUUCUAUUUCAGUUUUAGCACAUUUUGCUAUAUAUUGGCCUUCCUCGUGACUUUCCAAAGAGUCUUGACCUAACUUUUGGAAGAGCCUUGAGAUCUGUACAUGAAAGUGACUAGAAAAGCUGUGUUGUGAGCACAUGUCCUCCUUUGGCUCAGUCAACAGCACUGAGCACUUGAGUUAAUAAGCAUCAACAUAGGAACUUAAUAGCAACGUAGGAAAAAGUCAGAGAUGGAAUGGAAAUCAGAUGGGAAAUGCCUAAAUAGGUUCAAAACUUUCACUGUCCAGAGGAGUAAUCAUAUUCUCUAUUCUGAAGAGAGGGAAAGCUACUGCAGACCUUUACACUUAAUCCCCUGUCCUUUGCCUUGUAGAAGUGGAUGCAGAAGAUACUUUCUGUGGUGCCUGUCUGAGCACAAACCCUUGGAUGUGAAUGAGAAUCAGAUCUGGCCCCUUGCUACCCUCUACAUACUUAUUACCUUAGAGAAAUGCAUGAUUAGCUGGUUAAUUCCUUCAGUCUCUGUGCAUAGUCAGAGCCUCCUAAGAUGGGUCUUAAAAUAGAAAGAACUGGAUGGGGAUAGAACUAACUGGGCUAGAAUUGCUCUGACACUUCAGAUUGUUCCUUUGUCCACUGGGACCCCAAAAGCAAAACAUGCUUGGAUCCAAUGGAUUUAAGUGAGUCUAGUGGGUUUGGGAACUAGGAUUCAGUAAUUCAUUUGUUGUUGGCACCUUGUUUCUAACAGAAAUCAGCACUAGCUGAGAGGCUGGUCUACCACUUGAAACUGGAAAAGGUGUAGAGGAGGGUCACUAAGGGGCCAGGGACACAGGGCACAAGUAAAUGUUGUGAACACUGAGUCCUUCUUCUGUGUGGCACAGAGAAGGCUAAAGGUUGGGGAGUUACAAAAGCAGUGGAGCCAAAUUCUGGUAGUAGUAGAUGGUAAGAAAAAAGUGAGGGAAUUGUGUUUUGGGAAACUCAGGCAGGAUGUAAGACAAAACUUCUUCAUAAGGUGAGGAGGGCAGUGUUGAUACAGGUUACUGAAAGAAAUGGCAGUCAUCAUAGUGGGAGGUUUCAAAGUCUAGCAUGGAUAAUCUGUUGACAACAGCACCCUUUCUAGUGGGAUGUUGGACUAGGCACUUCUAGAGGUGCCUUAAAACCACUGUUUCUGUGGUCCAUUGACUACAGAUAUCAAUUGAUGCAAGGAAAGAGCCUGUACGAGCUAAGCUGUAACUUGCACAGUGGCAACUUUGAUCUCACCUCAACUCCAUUACAGUAUAUGUGAAUGUAUUAUUAGGCAGUCUUCAAUUAUUUGCAUAGGAAAAUUAUUUUGUUAAGGUAUCUGUGAUUGUCAUUUGCUAAGUAUAAGUAGCUGAACUUAUUUUGUACCAUGUUAAAAUUGUGUCAACAGCAUCUUGUGCUACUUGUACCAGAUCAACUAGAUUUGUUUAUUAGGAUGCAUACAGGCAUUGGCAGAGUGUGAGUGAAUAUCACUAGUCUUCUAUCAAAGCUUUUUUAAUGUAGUGGUCUUUUGAGGCCUCGAGCAAUUUAUUUUUGUGGAUAAUUAAUUCCCACACUCUGUGUUCAUCUGUUAACUUUUUGAGGUAACACGUUCAGAUGUAGGCAAGUCUUCUGAUUUCAUCAGAACUACAGUAAGCUUAGAGCACACUGAGUGGUAACUCAAUUUUUUAUCCUAAUGAAACAGGACUAAGUCUUGUCACUAAUUACUUUCUUCUUCAUGUUAAAUCUGUCUUGCUUGAGCUGUGAUGCAUAGAAUGGCAGUGGCCUAUGUAAGUGAAGAUAAAUCCAAGCUCUUGUCUGAGGUUGGUAAAAUGCAAGCCACUUUCAACAGGCAUGGCAGUAAGAUUGAGAUACUGUGCUGCUGUGUGGGUAUUUCCUACCAACUAGCUUCUUCCCUGUCUACCAGCUUCUCCUAUAUACUAGCUCAGCAGAGCAUAAACAGCAGAGGUUAGGUCCAUUUUACUCCUUAGGUCCAUCUUUUAUCUGCUGAAAUAUCUGAUGUGGAACAUUGAGGGGAAAAAAAUGUCAACAAGCUCUCAAAGGAAAAAUACCUAAGAGCAGAAUCUUUAAGGCAGCAGGCACAGCUCUAGGGACUGCUUUGCCAGUAAGUUACUGCCUGGUUGCCAAGAAAAAGACAUGCAGCAAAUCUGUCUUGGGCACAGCUGUGCAGCCCAGUUUAUAAUAGUAGAUUUCUCUAGCACAGUACUGUUUCUGAAUGCCUGUUUCUGGGUUCUUCUUUUUUUGGGUGUCCGAUACAAAAUUAUAUUAAGUGCAUUUCACAGUAGCAUUGGUAGAUAAUAAGCUUGACUGCAAGUUUGUAACUCAGGUUUUCAGCACAGCUACAUCUAAUUAAAAAGCCUGGAUGGACAUCAAUAAUUGCUAUUGCUGUUUUUCAGAAUUUCCUACAAUUUCAGACAGUAUGGUUUCUUGUUCUUGAAUCGCAGUUGGAUGGGGCCCUGGGCAGCCUUGUGUAGUAUUAGAUAUGGAGGUUGGCAGCCCUGCCUGCAGCAGGAAGGGUGGAGCUUGAUGAUCAUUGAGGUCCCUUCCAACCCAAGUGAUUCUAUGAUUCUAUGAUUUGUCACGUUUAUAAGGAAUUGAAGGCAUUUAAGAAAUGAAAAUGUAAAGAUACUUCAACCUCAGUCUGCUACAGUCCAGUUUGGUUUUUAACUGUCUAGAUCCACACAUCCCAUCUUCUAUAAGCUUCAGUGAUAAGGGCGUACGUAGAUUUUUUGCUUUUUUCUGAGUUGAGAACAGGGUUUGCCUUCUCACUGUAAGGGAGAUGAGCAUUCCUCUCCCUGUCCCUAUCUACUGGUGCCACUAAAGGUGCUCUGCUGGUCUUCAAGACCUACCUGGACAGUUAACAUUUCUCUUCUGGUCAUAUUGUAACCUCUCUCUGUGACAGUAUUCACUCUUCUAGGGCUUAGCUGUAACUAUACCAAACCCACAGAGGGUAUAGAAAGGACACUCUUCUGGCAUGGAACUCGGAAGUGAGAUACUAAACACCAUAUCUAAUUAUUUUGCUCAUUAAAUUACUGGAACCCAUUGCAGUAUUGUACAUGGAAUUAACUGCACAGAUGCACACACAAAUAUUCACCUGAAGUGAAAUAAGCAGAUCAAACACACUUACCCCUGUGAGGAAAAGAUGCCAUAAACACACUAGAUUGGACUUUGAUACCGCAGGCUGCACCCCUCAGAAACGACCUGACAAGCCCAAAAGAGCUCUUAAGCAAAGUGGCCCUGCAGACAUACACAUAAAGCUUCUCUGCCAGAGCUGGCAGAUGGCAGAGCAAUGGAUCUAAAAGAUGCCUGGAGGAAACAGCACGAGGGAUGCAGCAGCAGCGUGAACAAUACAUUGAAACUAACAGGGAGAAAAAGAAAAGGAAAAAGAAAAAAGCCCCAAACUGAUAGAGAUCUUUAAUUUAAAAACCGAGUAAGUUUAUUCAUUGGAAAGUGCAACAAAAUACCCUACAGAUAGAGCAUUCCACUCCAACAAUUAAAAUUGCAUUAAAAAGCCGAUAGGAAGGCCUGAAUCUUAAAGAGAAUGAGAACAAAAGCCAGUACUUUUCUUUGUUUCAGUGUCUUUAUCUUUGGCAACAGUGAUGCUCACUGAUAAUUUUCUUUUUUACGUACUCAGUCUACAACUUCACUGCUUUUUAUUUGAAAGACAUUCUGUAACUUACAGAUGCUAGCUUGAGGCUGCGGGACCCUCAUCUGCAGGCACUUAGAGGAGACAGUUGUGAAAGAAUGGGGGUGUAGGACAUACUCAGCAGCUGAGGGGCUGCAAGCAGGCAGAAGGAGAGCACAAGGCUAGAACAAGCUUACCACGUGUUGCUCAAGGGAGCUGCUAGUUUCUGAUCACUGAACCAGUUUUUGCAGAAGUAAUUCUCUUGGAAAUGCUGCAGGUAGGUUUCAUAGCAACCUACUCUCCCUCACAUUUGUUAAUGCACUCCAGCUGAGCUUUACCAGCCUGAUGAGCUUCUUUAAUAAAUAGCAAUGGUAUCAUUUGCUAGCACUUUCUGCCCAAUUAUUUCAAAACAUUUUACAAACAUAACUGAACCAAUUCUGACAUACAGGUCAGAAAGUUGCAGAGAAUACAUCAUAGAGGGAACCAAGUACAAUAAAUGCCCACAAUGAAGAUCAUCUUCUGAGUCCCAGUCCUAAAUUUAUCCUUCUUUCCCAUUAUAUUUCUUCAUCCCAGACCCCAACCUCUUCCUUACAGCAGCAAGGACUGCUUUUAUUCUACAGUUGUUUCUUAAUGCCUGUAUAGACAAAGACUUCUAGCACAACUGAGGUUGUCCAUUCAGUCCAUGUUAGCACAACCUUGGGGUCUCAGCUGUUUGUUGGUUUAUGUCUCUUGGCUCUGCUGUUCUCCUGAUGGUGACUGUCUUCAGAGGGUGCCCGACUCUCCGUGUUUGUCCCAGACUCCUCUGGAAAUUUCUGACCCUCAGCCAACACCUGUCGAAUAGUCAUGUUGAUACGGGAAGACUGCAAGUACUUGGCACAGACUUGCCAAUCCUCAUCAGAGCUGUGCUCAAUGACUGAGCCAACAGGAAGGUCUGAAGAAAGUGCUUGGUCGAAACAUGAAGGCAAAGCAGUCCCUUCAGGGUUGGGAAGGACACGGGGGACAGCAUGGUAUAGCAGACGGCUGAAGCCAGACAUCACCAUGAUAUCUCCACUGUGCAUGAACAUUGCUGUUGGGGCCUCUUCCCGCUUCAGGCCCCCAAGUAAAAAUAUGGAAGAUUGCCCAAAACUAAAGAUGGUAUGAGCACAGAGAAAGAAGAGAAAACAAAAUUGAGGUAGAGAAAAUUAUAUGUACAACAGGAAAAUAUUAGCAGCAACUGUAUUUCUUUAGAAAACAACAACAAACUAAACCAAAAAUGCCGAUGGACUCCUUGUUAGAACACAGAGAACAUGGAAAACAGAUGAAGAGGACUAGUAUACUUUAGACACAGUGUGAACAGUUGUCCUGUUCAGUUUUGAUGUUGUGCUGAGGUAUUUCAUGCUUGUUGCCUAGUGCCCAAAUUGCUGCUCUAUUGCUUUAGAAUGUAGCUGUGCCUUGUACUGAAAGCAAUUCCACUGAGAUGCCACAUCCAUACUAUUCAAGCAGUGUCCUUGAGCUACAGCUUCCUAAUAUUCAGGUCUUUGGAGAAUAAAGAUUAUAUGCUCAAUUAACUAAGUACAUCAUACUAACUUCCUAUAACCAUAUGUGAUCACGGUAAAUAUAAAUAAACACAUAAAUAAAUCCACUAUGCCUUCAGUAACACUCAAAUGGACUCACCUGAAUGAUAAAAGGGGACGAGAAUGGUCUAGUUCAGACUCAUCCACAUGAAUUCCCAGUGAAGAAUCAAAGUGAUAAUAGUUCAAGAUCCCUGCUUGGGCUUGGAAACCCCGGAAUCCACAGGCUGCAGCCACUUGUUCUGACAAGAAUGCAAGGUCUGAGGGGAAAGGAGUGUGGUGAUUUGCUGAGUACUUCUGGAGGAAGGAAAGUGAAAAAAACAAAACAAAACAAAAACACAAAAAGAGCAAACCUAGAAUAUCAGAACAGCAAAUGCAACCGGAAACAAACAAUGAAUCAUAUCUCAGAAGUCGGGCUGAUAGUCAUAAAGAAGGACAUAGGCAUAACAAAAGAAGUUUUCCUCAAAUCAUUUAAUUCUGGGCCUACGCAAAACUUGCCUGAAUUAAUAGUCUUUCAUUUCAGUCAUGGAGUUGAACAUUAUAAUUAAACUUGAAGUUGGUAUACUAAUACAAACAUCCUGAGGAUCUACUUCAGGUCAUUCAGUCACCACCUAAUUCUGCUAAUGGAGAGUUCUGUAUCUUGCCAAGAAAGCUCAUUUCAGAGCUCUGAAACAAACAUCCUUGCUCCUUCUUUGAAGGAUAAGACAGACAGGCAUCAAUAGCAAACCCACUUUUUCCUCUCUUCCUCAAGUGAUUUUGACUUCCAAGAGUGAAAGGGAGUAAUCAAGUUUUCUUAAGGCCUCAAAGUAAUAUGCUGAUCUGGUAAAUAUAAGGCUGCAAACUGAUUCGGUUAAGUAUCUGUAAUAUACUGAUAGAAUAUACAUAAUCACUCUGCUAUCCUUUCUCAGCCUCUAUCUGCCUCAAUCUGCUGAACAAGUUUAUUUCUGUCUCCAUUAUGUUGAGGAGCCCCAAAAUAGCUGUUAGUUGGUGAGACUGUGCUAUACUGGUUCAGAUUCUAAGUUCAAAGUCACAACUUAAGUAGACUCUUCCUGCUCUCACCCCUCUGUUGAGGAGCAGCAGUUCUCAGAAGUACCUGUCUUCAAGCAUGAAAGGUCAAUCUUGCUCUGAGUGCUUUUCAUACUAUACCUUUUAGAAAGGUAAAAAUGCUCACUUAUCCUGAAGUGGAGUCGUGGGUCUAGAGCAAAGCAUAUGCUACUGUGUUACCUUUUGAAGCAAAGAAGGCAACCAUGGGCUUUUGCUGUCAAGUCCUCCAUGGUGAACCCAAAAAGAUUAAAAUGUUCUUAGGAGCACGGUGUGUUACAGCCCUUCCUUGAGACUGUCGUGUAGGAUCCUAUGAACCUUACUAAAUUUUGUUCCAUAAUACUCUCUUUCUGUCUGCCAUUCUGAGUACUUACAGUGAAGAAAAAGAGAAGAAUUAAAUUACCUUGGUAUCCCAAUUAUAGUGGUAACCGAGGGUCACCCAGCGCAGCUUCUCCAGUAAGCUUCUGGGCUCACAUUUACUGGAACCUUUCCUUCUGCAAAGACAAAAUUGAAAGAAACAGGAUACAUGCUAAUUUCUGAGAGAUUUCACGGUACUACAGUAUGCAGUAAUGAGAUUCAUUCGUCCACGUGAGCCUCUUAAAACCAUCAAUGCUAAACUUUUAUUUUUAUUUUACUUUUAUGCCACUGUUCGUUGUUGAAAUUUCUGUUUCUGAACUGAGUUUCAGAACUGAAAAUUCAGUUCACGCAAUCUGUGCAAGUUGUAGUCUGCUGCCAAUUGCUGGUUUAUCUGUUCUCUGGUACCUAAACUGGGAUAUCAUACAGAGACAACACAGUGAACUGGCACAGACUUAUAAGUCAGAAUUGAGCAUGUACUGUUUGUGCAGCUGAAAGAGAAUCUGUGAAGAUCUCAAACGUAUAAACACAAGAAUGAAAUAUUCCAGGCACUUAAUGGAAAAUUACAAGACAGAAAAAUGUGUUAGCUGACAGUGAAGUAUAUGAAGCUGUAAAACACUCUCCUAAGCAAAAGGCCAUUAGUUCUACUGCUUGGUACUUUUACAAGAAGUGCUUAGGAUGAAUUAGCUCUGUAAGGUGGCUUUAGAUAUGAGUAUAUGCAUCUUGUAAUGUCAAGGAAUCUACACUGUGGCUGUUUUCUAUUCAGGGUGUCGCAGAAGACAAAAAGUACACUGGAUCUUUUUUUUUUUUUUUUUUUUUUAAGGAAAGAGCAGCAUAAUGCAUAGCAGAACUGUUUUCCUCCAGUGACCACCCUAAUGCAGUGACCUGUAACCUCACAACAAUUUGCACUUCUUACUGGAAGGCAGGAAGAGACCUCAGGGAUGGGCUUUUACUGUGGCUUAAAGAAAAGUCCUCACAAAGUUACAGCAAAGAGUACUAUGGUAGUAAAUCAGACAGAAGCGUGCUAGUGCCAAAUACAAAAUGGAAGGUACACAUCUAUCUCCUAGUUCACUUACGCCAGCGAUUUCAGUUUCUUUUCUCAUGCUUAGUCAUGAGAUAUGGUAAAAAAGGAAAAGAAAGGGAGGAGACAGAACAGAACAGUAACGUCAGAUGGUUGGCUCUCAUUUAUAGCCUCAUUAGUUCAGCAAGACAUGAUCUCUUUUACAAAACUGAAUUAAUAGUAUCUAUGCUGCCAUGGUCAAGUGUCAGCCAAGCAUGUGCAUUCAGUGUGCACUUCUACUGGAUACACAGCUUGUUUCUGCCCUUCUCCUUACUGAGCGUUAGUACUAGUUGCUUGUAAGCUAAACCAGGAAUGGGAGUUAAAGGCCAGUUUCUUUACCUGUACUGACUUUCUCAUAGCUCACUGAAUAUUGAAAUAAAGUCAUCUUUCCAGUUUCCUUCUUUGUCAUAGGGUAAUAGCAACUGUAAUUGCCAUAAUGCAGCAACACUGUAAGCAUCAAAUACAUGUUGUUUGGAACAAUUUAUGGAGCCUGCUAACAAGUAACAACAUUUAGAAAAUUGAGAGGCCACAACUCAUUCCUCUGCAUCUUCCAAACGAUAAGUUAAGGUUCAUAAUUAAACAUCUUUAUCACCUGCCUUUUGAAAGUGCCCUUCAUCUUCUUUAGCUACUGCGUUAACGUUCACACAGAAGCAGGAACACUAGCUCAGAAGGUCCAGAUUCCCAGAAUUUAUUAUUUUGCAUGUGAUUUCAUACGUGAUUGUUUAGAAGGGGAAAGUCUGGAGUGUUACAUAUUUAGAAACAAUCAGUUCCUAAGCUUGUAGCAGAGGUGCUCCUGCAAGAAGACACUGAGAAGUUCAGGUUAAGCUACGUUAGAAAGAGAGCAAGACUGAAGAUUAUGGGGGGAGAUGAUCUGAAGCAUUCUUUUUUUUUCUUCACUUGCUGAUAAAUGAUUCCAUCUAUAAAAUCCUCCCAACCUUUUUCUUACAUACACAUGCAUAUAUAUCCCUUGCAGGGACGUGUGCUCUGCACUUUAAGAAAGUACUCCACUUUGCAGAGAGAUCACAGCAUACAUUUCUAGGAACUGUAUGGACUCUCCCUACCUUAUGAUUCUUGCAAACAGCAAAUAUGUCAUGAUCCAAGCACGCUAAGCUAUCUAGCUGAUGGAAGAUUAAAAAGCCUUAAAGAAGAAGAUGGAAAGAUAAAAAGCAUUAAAGCUGGAUCCAGCUUUGGAAACACGCCUCCCUCUAAGCAUCAUGUUUCUCCACUGUCUGAAAAGCUCUCACUCCUAAUACCAGACAAGUUGGCUAGUUUGAUCUGCUUCCCCCAGGUAAAGCAUAGAUACAGCAGUUUGCAGAUGUGAAGACCAAGCCAAAUGUUUAAUAAAACUGGUGGUGUUUCUGCCAACCAUUGCUCUUCCAAAUGCCGUUUCCAAGUGAACUAGAUUCAGCUGCAAAUUAACCUCUGUUCUGACCAUUCCAUGUGUGCAGGAGGUACUGCUGGGAAAGGUCUGUCAAGCUGGAACAGUACCCAACUUUUUUCAGCUGUAGGGCACAAUUCACAAUGCUUUCAAAGAACAAUUUUUUCAUACUUGAUGGAAAACUAAAAAGAAAAAAAAAAGGCAUUUGAACUUCUGUAACAAAUUCCAACUGAAAACUCAAGUGCCGGCUAACUUCUCUCCCAGGUAUGAGCAUGUAGAAGUUCAAGCUUUGCUUUGGCAAAUCCAUUUCUUGUGGAUGUGAAGAAUAUUUUUUUAAGAACAAUCUCAGCACACCAAUUUUCCUAACAGGCUGCAGUGGAAGAUGGGAGCUGCAGGGAAAUCUGGUCACUCCAGCACAUGACACAACCUCAUCAAAAAUAAGCAAUUAAAUCAACAAUGACAAAUACCUAAAUAAAUAAUGAUUGUAAACAGCAUCUAACUUUUUAUUUUUACAAUUAUUAUUUAAAGAAAAAAAAGCUUCAGUGCUUAGAUUUGAACGUUUUCUGUUUGACUUUAAAACUUGGACAAGUUCUCUAUUAGUCUCCAAAUCAGGUAGAAGAAAGGGAGCUUUGUCUGCCACAGAGCUCUGAUCCUGUGGGAAUCUUUCAAAGUAAACAAGAUUGACAUUGAAAUGGCACACAUUUAAUUGCUAUCUCAGAUUGGAUGAAAGAAAAAAUCUGAACAUCAAAACGUGGAAACUGGUCAAUUUGAGUGCAUAUACCAAGAAGUCAAUAUACAGCUUUUCAAUUACAGCAUACUAGAUCCAGCAGCUGACUGGAAAGAAGAGUUAGCAGGCACAGCACGUUUGGAAAGGAUCCAUUUUGCCUCAGGAAAACUGAGGUCUAAGGAGACCUCACGGUUCCACUUGUAGUUGAGCUUUGCAAGUUUCUGAGCACCACGACAUCAGCCAGGGUUGCUAUUCUACCCUAGACUGAUAGAUUUGGCAUAAUUUGCUACUAAAAAAUCAUGUUGUUAAUGUAAAAGAAGAGACUUAACAAGGAUGCACAUCAUACAAAGAUACAUCUUUAAUGUGGCACGUUUGACACGAUCUGUAUACUGUAUACUAUACAGCAUGUACACAAUCUUUUUCAGCUUCCUUUCCUUGCCAUUUUUAAUUCAGCCUUCUCAGAGCUGAGCACUUCUGGCUCUGUUAGUUUUGACCAAAGGUUGUUCUGGACUCACCUCAGCUUUUCCUUGCUUUGUCCCCACAGAUCAGCGGUCUUCUCAGGAGCCAUGUGCAGGUCCAGGUUGCAGACAUUGGGUUUCUGGGUGUAUAGCUUGAGGCACUGCUUCACCCAGUGACGCUGGCAGCCCGG